rfam:Oryza glaberrima chromosome 10 Oglab10_unplaced094_1, whole genome shotgun sequence.
CCCAUUUGAAGUAAGUAGUUUUCGUAUCCAAUUUUAAUUGUUUGUAUUAUUUAAAAUUAUUUUAAAAAAUAAGACACUUUAAGUCACAUAUAAAGUAAUAUUCAUGUUUUACGAUCCAAUAAUUAUAAAAUAGUUUAAAAUAAGACGGACGAUCAAAUUUAGACACCGAAACUCAUGACUGCGUUUAAA